rnacentral:rRNA from 1 species
AUACGUAGGGAGCGAGCGUUGUCCGGAAUUACUGGGUGUAAAGGGAGCGUAGGCGGGAGUGCAAGUCAGAUGUGAAAUACAUGGGCUCAACCCAUGGGCUGCAUUUGAAACUGCAUUUCUUGAGUGAAGUAGAGGUAAGCGGAAUUCCUGGUGUAGCGGUGAAAUGCGUAGAUAUCAGGAGGAACACCGGUGGCGAAGGCGGCUUACUGGGCUUUUACUGACGCUGAGGCUCGAAAGCGUGGGGAGCAAACAGGAUUAGAUGCCCUGGUUGUCCACACUGUAAACGAUGAAUACUAGGUGUGGGGGGACUGACCCCCUCCGUGCCGCAGUUAACAAAAUAAGUAUUCCACCUGGGGAGUACGAUCGCAAGAUUGAAACUCAAAUGAAUUGGCGGG